GACGAACGCUGGCGGCGUGCUUAACACAUGCAAGUCGAACGGAAAGGCCCUGCUUUUGUGGGGUGCUCGAGUGGCGAACGGGUGAGUAACACGUGAGUAACCUGCCCUUGACUUUGGGAUAACUUCAGGAAACUGGGGCUAAUACCGGAUAGGAGCUCCUGCUGCAUGGUGGGGGUUGGAAAGUUUCGGCGGUUGGGGAUGGACUCGCGGCUUAUCAGCUUGUUGGUGGGGUAGUGGCUUACCAAGGCUUUGACGGGUAGCCGGCCUGAGAGGGUGACCGGCCACAUUGGGACUGAGAUACGGCCCAGACUCCUACGGGAGGCAGCAGUGGAGAAUAGUGCACAAUGGGCGGAAGCCUGAUGCAGCAACGCCGCGUGCGGGAUGACGGCCUUCGGGGUGUAAACCGCUUUCGCCUGAGACGGAGCGUGAGUGACGGUAAUGGGUAAAGAAGCACCGGCUAACUACGUG
rnacentral:rRNA from 1 species